GGGGAUAUAGCUCAGGUGGUUAGAGCGCUUCACUGAUAAUGAAGAGGUCCCAGGUUCAAAUCCUGGUAUCCCCACCA
rnacentral:tRNA from 2 species